AUGGGGAUCUGCCCGAUAGAGGGGAAUAACUACUGGAAACGGUGGCUAAUACCGCAUAAUGUCUACGGACCAAAGCAGGGGCUCUUCGGACCUUGCACUAUCGGAUGAACCCAUAUGGGAUUAGCUAGUAGGUGGGGUAAAGGCUCACCUAGGCGACGAUCUCUAGCUGGUCUGAGAGGAUGAUCAGCCACACUGGGACUGAGACACGGCCCAG
rnacentral:rRNA from 1 species